rnacentral:hammerhead_ribozyme from 1 species
AUCCAGCUGACGAGUCUUAAAUAGAACGAAACGUGCGUCCUAGAU